GUCUAUGGCCACACCACCCUGAGCGCGCUCAAGCUCGUCUGAUCUUGAAAACUAAGCAGGGUCAGGCCUGGUUAGUAUUUGGAAGGGAGAAUGUUACAUUUGUUUUCCUCAGCUACCAGGGGACUGGCCU
rnacentral:rRNA from 1 species